GGCUGGCUGGGAGGUAGCUAAUCUGGUGGUUGGUUUCCAGGAGAACAUGGCCCAGUUAGCUAUUUAAAUCCUACAAGGAUGAUGUAAGCCAGUGGGGCCGAAAGGGUGAGGAGAAAGGCGACAGGGAAGGAGAAAUCUUGUCAGGCUGCAUUAUUUACAAUGAGCUGGCUGAGGCUAAGCGGAGACUGACAGACCCGCCACCUGUGCACUGAGCUGGGCUCCCAGCACCUCCCUGCUGCCUCCCCCACCCUUGGGAGAGAGGAUUGUUCAGCACUUCAUCUGGUGCUCAGUUGGUGGGGUUAGGAGAUGAUUUAAUUUAUACACAUACACGUUACGUGUAUUUCCUGGCAGAGCAGGUCUCUACUUAGAAAAGCACACAAAACCUGCUCUGCUCUGUGAAGUCCUGGAGUGCCCUAGGAAAGCUGCGGGCUGUCUCUCCAACACUAGUGAGAAAAUCACCCUUGUUCCCUCCUCUGGAAGUCUGUGGUCUCAAUAACGGCAGCGAAACUUUACAGAGGAGCGCAGAGCUUGGAGGCUGUGUCACAGCACCAGCAAAUGAUCUGGCUCAGGAAAUAGUGCUACACACACUUGAAAAAUGCAAGAUGAGCUUGACACCACAUUGGCACAGGAUACACGACAGGAAGUGGCAUGAUGGCUCCCUGAAUGGAGAUGGGUGCUUUGCAAGGUUCGAGGGAUGGAUCAGGACGGGAAGCCCACCCAUCUAACCACAGUGAGGUCGGUCAGCUUCUCAUCUGGAUGGCCAAGUGCACGGAAGCAAGACCACCAGUUGAAAGAGAGGAUAGGCAAAAGGGUAUAAAAUUUGAGAAUGGUGGAAAGUUAUGAAUCAGCAACCCAGGAGAGGAAGAAGUGCCUAUACUAAAAUUGGAAUGAUACAGAGAAGAUUAGCAUGGCCCCUGUGCAAGGAUGACAUACAAACUGGUGAAGAUUCAUGCAUCUUAAUGGGAAGAAACUUUACCUAAAAGCUUGUAUAAGCUUCCACAGUAGAAUGUCUCUGGCUGGAUUACUGGAGGUUUUGAAAUCUCUUUCCUGCAAACAUGGUGAUUUUAGCAACAAAGGAGAUAUCCCUUCAGGGCAUCUUGGACCACCAGGCAGCUAAAACAACUUAGCAGUCCUGGUAAGUUGCAGGACCACCGUGGGGUUUUGUGGGAUGAGUGGACCCUUGCCAUUAAUUUGUCUUUUCUUUUUUUCAGGGGGCAGCAGUGUUGGGGAUGAAACCCAAGGCCUCAUUCGUCCUGGGCAAGCACUCUUCACUGAGCUACGUCUCCGGAUUCUCACCACUAUGUUCUAUCCUAACUUAGAGAACGUCAGAUCAACUGUGCUUAGAUCUUAAGCCUACACUUAACCACUCCACGGUGAUGGGAAGUGUUUUGUUGUAGUCAGGAUUUGCAAGGAAAUAGAUUUAAUACAGGACACCUGAUUUGUAGGAUUAUUUUAUAAUAUUCACCAAAAAAAUCAAAUGCAAAAUAAUACAGGAGGUCUGUCCACACUCUAAAAAAUCCAGCUGAGGGCUUGCUUCCCACGGCAACGUCCUGCAUAAGUCCAGCUGAAGGCCUAGAAUUCAUGACAAUUCUCAAGCAAGGUCUGUUCAAGCGGCCUUCCCCAGCCAGCACCAUGAUUAGUUCAGCUGGGAGACAAAAGCUGACCAUUACUUACCCCGCUGCAUGUCUCCAGGGUCUUCUUCAGCCUUCUCAGUGAGGGGCAGGUCUUUUCCAUGAUGGGGAAAGGACCUGCCGCCCAGGAACCAGGGUGCUGUUGCCGAGGGAGGAUAGACUCGGGCCCCAUGUCUGAGCAGGAAAUCUGUUCAAAAGGGACUUUCUGCAUAUGGCCCCACUUUGGCCCCACUCUAGUUACAUUGGUGUUGAAAAUAAAGUUCCUGAGGCCCAAGGAAA